rnacentral:rRNA from 1 species
CUGGGCUUAAAGGGUGCGUAGGCCGGAUGCGCAAGCGUCCUGUGAAAUCCCUCAGCUCAACUGAGGAAUUGCAGGGCGAACUGCGUGUCUUGAGACAGGUAUGGGCCGUCGGAACGUUCGGUGGAGCGGUGAAAUGCAUAGAUAUCGAACGGAACGCCGAAGGAGAAGUCGGGCGGCUGGGCCUGUUCUGACGCUGAGGCACGAAAGCGUGGGGAGCGAACAGGAUUAGAUACCCUGGUAGUCCACGCCCUAAACGAUGCGCACUAGAUCGAGGCCGUUUCGAAGCGGUCUCGGUCGUAGAGAAAUCAUUAAGUGCGCCGCCUGGGGAGUACGGUCGCAAGGCUAAAACUCAAAGGAAUUGACGGGGGCUCACACAAGCGGUGGAGCAUGUUGCUUAAUUCGAAGCAACGCGAAGAACCUUACCUGGGUUUGACAUGCACGGAUUAGUUUCUGGAAACAGGAAUGACGCCCUUUGGGUGGAACGUGCACAGGUGCUGCAUGGCUGUCGUCAGCUCGUGCUGUGAAGUGUCGGGUUAAGUCCCUUAACGAGCGCAACCCCUAUCGCUAGUUGCCAACACUUCGGGUGGGGACUCUAGCGAGACUGCCGGUGUUAAACCGGAGGAAGGUGGGGAUGACGUCAAGUCCUCAUGGCCUUUAUGUCCAGGGUUGCAAACGUGCUACAAUGGCGCGUACAGAGCGAUGCGAUGUCGCGAGGCGGAGCAAAUCGCAAAAAGCGCGCCCCAGUUCGGAUUGGAGUCUGCAACUCGACUCCAUGAAGUCGGAAUCGCUAGUAAUCGGAGAUCAGCUACGCUCCGGUGAAUACGUUCCUGAGCCUUGUACACACCGCCCGUCAAGUCAUGGAAGCCGGGAGCGCC